GUGCCAGCACGCGGUAAUACGUAGGUGGCAAGCGUUAUCCGGAAUUAUUGGGCGUAAAGGGAGCGUAGGCGGUUUAUUAAGUCUAUGGUGAAAGUUCGGGGCUCAACCCCGUGAUGCCAUAGAAACUGGUAGACUUGAGUACAAGAGAGGUUAGUGGAAUUCCAUGUGUAGCGGUAAAACGCGUAGAUAUAUGGAGGAACACCAGUGGCGAAGGCGGCUAACUGGCUUGUAACUGACGCUGAGGCCCGAAAGCGUGGGGAGCGAAUAGGAUUAGAUACCCGCGUAGUCC
rnacentral:rRNA from 1 species